rnacentral:lncRNA from 1 species
UUCUGGAGGCUGAGGAGCCCCAGGUUGAGGGGCUUCAUCUGGUGAGAGCCUUCUUGCUGGUGGAGACUCUGAAGAGUCCCGAAGUGGUGUGGGGAAACAUAUGAGCUCAGAGAUCCCAAGAGGCAAAGCGGGGAAAGAAUAAGAAGAAUUGGCCAAAUGCAAUGUACCUUGAAGAAGUUUAAGAAUAUUAAUUCACAUCAAGUCAAAAUCGUCACCAUUAUGAAAGUAAUUACAACAACCACUGCUUUUGCUUAUUUUCCAUUUAUGCGAUUCAGCAGUACAAGCAAAAUGAGUUUUAGAAAUCAUUUCACUCUGGAAAGCUUUCAGAUCACAGAUUCCUGCUCAUAAGUGGAUAAAUGAUGCAGUAAAAUUGAACAAACACAGCUCGUCCUACAUUCUGAAGAUGGGGCACAUUUAUCAGAAGAGAAAAACUGCCAGAGAGAAUUCACAUCAGUGCAGACCGAGAGUCUCAGAUGGCUAAGAGAUGUGCCUGACAACUUUUCAGAAAUAAGACUAUUAAAAGAAGGUCAGCUUGGAGUCUUACUGCGAAGAAUUAUAAACAGGCACGUGGAUUAUAAAUAGGGAGUUGGCAUGGUGGUUAAAUUUUUCUAAAACAGUCAUAUUAAUGUGUUCAAAAAUCCACUGCUGAGUCUCAGAGAGAGGGUCACAUCU